GCCGAAUUCAUUACUAUGUCAAAACGACUCUCGGCAACGGAUAUCUCGGCUCUCGCAUCGAUGAAGAACGUAGCGAAAUGCGAUACUUGGUGUGAAUUGCAGAAUCCCGUGAACCAUCGAGUCUUUGAACGCAAGUUGCGCCCGAAGCC
rnacentral:rRNA from 8 species